rnacentral:lncRNA from 1 species
AGGGACUCAUAGUUUUCCAUUUUAUUUAAAUAAUUGUCUAAUUGUUAAAACAACAGCUUGGGCAAGGGCUUCGUUGUUUACCUUUAUACACAACAACAUAUUCACUUUUGGUUUCGUUGUUACUAAAUACACAACAACAUAUUCACUAUGUACUUGGUAACAGUUAUUAAUUGAUUAAAUAGAAAAUAUUAUAUAACAAAUAUUAUUGGAUGCCGAAUUGACGUCAAAUAGGUGCCAAUUUGACUAGAUGCCAAUUUAACCAGGUGCCAACUUGAACUUCAAGUCGGACUUGACUUGUAUGUUUCAAUUCCUCUGCGAUCGUUUGUGGUAUUUUCUUGAGAAAACCUAUUUUCCAUCAUUAAAGAGAAGAAGAAACUGCUUGAAAAUGAUUCUUGAACGCUUAAUGAUUGUUAAAAUUCACUCAAAAAACAAUUUUGAAACUUGCGAUGUUUAAACAGGAAGUUUCAAGAGCACGUGUAAAAGAAGAAAUUAACCGGUGAGAAGUGAAAUCCGUACAUGACAGAUAUCACUAUAGUACGACUUUCAAAGUAAAACAGUUCCAUCCUUUUUGUAAAACAGUCUUUAAUAUACCUAUCACAUUAAUGUUUGAAGGGUCUUAAGGUUAUUCGAACCAUAUAAGUCGGUAUGAAACACCAAAACGGAAUGAACAAUAACCGAUUACGUUUUGUAGUUUACAAAUUCUAAACUGGUUCCCGUCAAACUACAACACUUUGUUCGAGUGUAGUGGAAUACAAGCAGAAACCAGUUAGUUUGUAAAAUAGUAAUAUGAAACGAGUGUAAACUGGUUUCUGGCUGACUACACAAUGAUCAUGCAUGAUGAUAACACAAGCAGAUUCCAGUUUGUAUUUAAAAUAGUAAAUACGAAACAAAGCGCGGUAGGCAGAGAAAUGUAAUGAAGUUCAGGUCGCCAGUAAUGGAACAAUGACUGCGUCAUUUUCCAAAAAAUCAGGAACAGUAAAAAACAUGAUUUUUUUUUAUGACAAUUUCCAAUGUAUUGUCAUAAUACAACAUCAUUUAAUAUAUAAAUUUACAUGAUAUUAUAUCUGCUAAUGAUUAUCACAACAACAAAGCAUCUUUUCAUUCAGUAUAAUUAAAACCAACAUUCUAUUAGUUUAAUAAUGCCACAGCCUUUUCAGAAUAACUCUUUUCAUAAUUUUUACAGCAAUCCUUUUGAUUUCUUGUCCAUCCUGGGAUUAUAAAAUAAAAUGCCAAAUUUCAAAAAUAAAUAUUUGAGCAGAAUGCAUUGAAAAAUCUGUACAAUGCAGUAUGUACUAGUUUAAUUUUUAUUCUGUAAAGAAGUGCGAGAAAAAUCAAAUAAAAAUUUCUUAAGCACACAAAGUGUGUACUCAUGGAAUCCUUUCUUAAUAUCAUAACCAGAUGUAAAACGAGAUAGGACAUACAGCUUUUCUUAUUGUAUUAUCCUCCUUUUAAAAUUGACUCCUUUAUAGUAAAUAAUAUGUAACAAACAGUCUGUGUACUUCAAAUUGAGUAAAGCUCAAUCUUCAAAAAUAUGACGGAGACUCAAGAAAAGCAUGUUUUCCAGAACUUAUGAAAAUUUAGCACAUGGUUCAUUAAGUGUACAAGAUUUUCCUAAACAUUGUUAAGUAAUUAUAAUUUUUCAUGUGUAUAUUUUAGUUAUAAAACAGCAUAUGGACAAACAUCUUGCCUUAAUUUGUUAUAAAAAAAAAUUGUAAGGGUUCUGCGGAACCCAGUGUCUCACCUACUUUUUUCUGUUAAUCCAAGGCUCAACAAAAAUAAGGAAAUUAGUCAAUAAAAAUAUUCCUCUUGAUACUAUCUUUUGAUUGUAAAAAGCUUCUGUCCACGUCUGGUAAAAAUCCAAGAUAGUUUAUGAAUCUUAUAAAAGAUUAAAAAUUUGAACUGCAGACUGCAUGUAAUGUCAACUGGAAGAAAACAAAAUUUCCUUCUAGAUACUAGCAUUUUUGAUCAUAAACAAGCUUCUGUCCAAGUUUGGUACAAAUAAAAAAUAGUGUAAAAAAGUUAUUAAAACUUUAACUACAGAGUGAACGUGUUGUUUCCUGGCAGAAAAUUUAAGUCCAUUUAAAAGUAAAAUAUGGAAAAAAUGGAUUAAUUUUUUUACAAAAUUUACUUCUGAAAACUAUCUUCUGUCAAGUUAUGAUCAUAAACAAGCUUCUGUCCAAGUUUGGUACAAACCCAGGAUAGUUUAAGAAAGUUAUUAAAAUUUUUAAAACUUUAUCCACAAAGUGAAUGUUAUAUUUCUCGGCAGAAAAACUAAGUUCAUUUAAGUCCAUUUAUAAGUAAAAUACGGAAAAAAUGGAAUUUUAUUUUUCUAAAAUUUUACUUCUGGAUACUAUCUUAUCAUCAUAAACAAGCUUCUGUCCAAGUUUGGUAGACAUCCAGAACAGAUUAAGAAAGUUAUUAAAAUUUUAAAAACUUUAACCACAGAGUUAAUAUUUGUGGACGCCGCCGACGAAGACGCCAAAAGAAUGUAGGAUAGCUAUGUCUCGCUUUAAGGCUCGACAAAAAACAAUUUUAUAACAUCAGACACAAUUUACAUCAGGCUACAGCUUCUUAUUGUAAAUAACUUGAGAUCACUACAAAAUAAUUUGGAUUUCAUACUAAAGUUCUCAAUGUUGAGCCAUGAUAUUCUUCGUGUGUAAAAGGUUGUAAACUUUCAGAAUGGUUUCAUAAUAAUAAUUAUUCUAAAAAAAACAAGUGUUUAACCUGCUGAAAGUAUUUUCAUUCAAUAUUAAACAAAUAUUUUGCAGAAAAUUUCAGAAAACAUUUUGUAUGUUGAAAAAAACACACAAAGUUAUUGAAAACUUAAAACAUGUACACAUACAUAAUUUUUUACAAUUCUUUACAAUUACUUGAAAAUUUUAUCAUAUUCUAAUGCAAUUACUAGCACUAUUAAUACAUACUAUCUUUCUUUCAAAUUUUACACACUUGCUUCAUUGUACAUGUUUCUUAUUAUUCACUAUCAAUAUAUUAUAGCCAAAAAGAUGGAAAUUAGCAUUCCUGUUUUUCAAAAGGAAAAUGCUGGGAUCAGUUGUAAAUUCUAUUUGUCAGCACUUACUGUACUCCCUAAGCCUUAUUAUCUAAAUUUUUAUACAAUUCUAGUGUUCUGUUUAUAAAUAUUGAUAUAAAAUUUAGUACUUCAUGGUUUUCUUUCAAUAUCUGAACAGGAGCCAAUUGUGGAGUCUGAAUUUGAGGCAAAAAUGCUAAAUAGUAGACAUUUUGGUUUCGUAUUAGAGCUAAGAAGAUGGUAUAUCUUAUUUAUACAUUAAUUUAAGGAAGUGUUUGCCGUCAGUUAGUUAUCUUUCAUCUACUCCCAAUAGUAAUAACUCAAAAACAGCUGUUAACAAGAAUGUGUCCAUAGUACACAGAUGCCCCACUCGCACUAUCAUUUUCUGUGUUUAGUGGACCGUGAAAUUGGGGUAAAAACUCUGAUUUGGCAUUUACAUUAGAAAGAUCAUAUCACAGGGAACAUGCAUACUAAGUUUCAAGUUGAUUGGACUUCAACUUCAUCAAAAACUACCUUGACCAAAAACUUUAAUCUGAAAUUUGCACUAUCAUUUUUUAUGUUCAGUGAACCGUGAAAUUUGGGGCAAAACACUAAUUUGACAUUAAAAUUAGAAAGAUCAUAUC